GUGACCGUAGCUCAAUUGGUCAGAGCACUGGACUGUGGCUCCAGGGGUUGUGGGUUCGAUUCCCAUCGGUCACCCCA
rnacentral:tRNA from 3 species